UCGGUCAUAGAGAAGUCUUGUCAAGGGUUUAUAAGGCACCGGGAGGCAACCCAUAUCGUCCCUUCGGGGACAUCCGAUAAAAUUGGAACGAUACAGAGAAGAUUAGCAUGGCCCCUGCGCAAGGAUGACACGCACAAAUCGAGAAAUGGUCCAAAUUUUUUUCCUCUCAUUCAUGCCCAGCGGUGAUGCAGGUUAGGAAAUUUAUUUGGACUGUUGGGAACUUUGGAUGUCAUUUCAUCACCAAUGACAGUUUAGUAACUGCCUCCACUUUAUAACAUGCUAGAAGUUGCACCCUUGUAUUUACAUUAAUAAUCAAUCAGCUGUUUCAAACCCUGAAGGUUUGAGUGUCAUCAGCUUUUUCCUCUUAAUUCAGGUGAGAGGUAGAAGAAACACAUCUCCUCUUUGUAAAUUGCUGCCUUCCACUUCAAUAUCGUUAGUACUGUCAACUGUGUGGUUUGUCCACAAAGUUUAUGCUGUAUAGGAUCCAUGAUAGUGAGUGUAAGCUAUUUGGCUUCAGCAUGACAAUUUCCAAAUGCCUAAAAGGUACAUUCUCAUUUUCGUAUGGUGGGGGUGAUGUAAAGUGUGAUCUACACUUCAGUAUGGGAUAUGAUUGGGUGAUAGUAUUUGUUGAUAAUUUAUCUUUUCAGUCCUUUUCACUGUAAAAUCCUCCAAAAGUCAGUUACAUAUCUUGCACUUUUUGGUUUUAAUCAUAAUGAUGAGCAGAUCAUAGGAACACCUUUACAGAUACUCUGCAGAGUCAAUUUACAUUCAUUAGGAGUCCAGAAGCCUCCUAUAGCCUUAUGUGCUGCUACUUUUAGGCAGCCAACUUGACAAUACACCCUAUUCAUGUACUUCAGCUGUGAUUCCUUUUAAGUUUUGAACAUGUUUCUAGCGAACGGAGGUUAAAGACUAAGCCUGAACCUGAUUGAACCUCCCAUAUGAAUCGUUGCUUGCUGUUUGUCAACCAUUCUGCCAGCGGUUUUGAAAUAGCCCCUUUCACUGAGAAAAAGCAAGAGACUGCGUAAACAACGAUGAUUGACAUGCUGUUUAUUCGCUAGACAAUCCUUGGGAGAUUCAGACUGUCUGCAAGAAACCAAGUGAUAUACGAUUGUGCAUUUGAAAUCAAGCAUGCCACAGGCUCAUCAUCUUGCAACUCAGUCAAGCAACCUUCAGAAAUGGUUCAUGCUGCUUUUGUUAUAAUGUUAUAUAACGGAAUCAUUGGUUCCACUAGUUGGGGGUAGUUCGAUUGAAUUUGUUCGCAUGUGCCUAUGUAUGUAUCUCUCUCUAACCAAAAUCAUGAUGAUUAUUGGAGAUGUCCAAACUAAUUGAGAAGUUUAUUUAAGUA